GAUGAACGCUGGCGGCGUGCCUAAUACAUGCAAGUCGAGCGAACAGACGAGGAGCUUGCUCCUCUGACGUUAGCGGCGGACGGGUGAGUAACACGUGGAUCACCUACCUAUAAGACUGGGAUAACUUCGGGAAACCGGAGCUAAUACCGGAUAAUAUAUUGAACCGCAUGGUUCAAUAGUGAAAGACGGUUUUGCUGUCACUUAUAGAUGGAUCCGCGCCGCAUUAGCUAGUUGGUAAGGUAACGGCUUACCAAGGCAACGAUGCGUAGCCGACCUGAGAGGGUGAUCGGCCACACUGGAACUGAGACACGGUCCAGACGACUACGGGAGGCAGCAGUAGGGAAUCUUCCGCAAUGGGCGAAAGCCUGACGGAGCAACGCCGCGUGAGUGAUGAAGGUCUUCGGAUCGUAAAACUCUGUUAUUAGGGAAGAACAAAUGUGUAAGUAACUAUGCACGUCUUGACGGUACCUAAUCAGAAAGCCACGGCUAACUACGUG
rnacentral:rRNA from 1 species